rnacentral:lncRNA from 1 species
GGUUCAUAAGUCAUAGAAAUAAGAGGGGACCUCAUCUCUUUGAAUCUAAAAAUGUUCUAAGAUAGGAAACCUUGGACAACGUUCUUCGAUGACCUCGAAGCUCAUCGGAGUACUCGAGCUAAUUUUUUUUACUCACACGCAAAGAAUCUACGGCUCAUGGCCAUUCGAGUUAACACAGAAAAAUGACUACGAACAAUUGUUUUGGUUUCAAUGGCACUGUUGUUUGAUGGACGUGUGCGCAUCAAAAAGGCUGAAAAUCUACGGGGUUGUAGUUUUGAGCAAAUAAACAACUUCUAUUUUUUAUCUUUUUCUUCUUUUUUUUUUUCUUAAUUUUCUGGUCGUGUUCGAAGUGUGGGAAACGAUGGUGUUCUUACGGGGAUGGGCAGCUGAUAUUCGACAGGUUUUAAGGAGGUAUUAUAGGGUGUUUGACCGUGGUAUAGGUGGUUUAUGUUACUGCCAUGGCUAUGGAGCUUUGGUGGUGUGGUGGCAAUGGAGUUUCGAAGGGGUGGCACGUCGAUGGUUCAUAGAGACAGAGGUGUGCGGCGACAGGAGGGUUGUCAUUGUUAGGGGUCAAGAAGAAGAUGGAAGGGUGUUAUUUUGGUGAGGGUGACGGCUGAGCAUGGGGUUAGGUCUAGUCAUCUUUUUUUCGUUAAGAAGAAGACGAG